AUUGAACGCUGGCGGCAUGCUUUACACAUGCAAGUCGAACGGUAACAGGCCUUCGGGUGCUGACGAGUGGCGAACGGGUGAGUAAUGCAUCGGAACGUGCCCAGAGGUGGGGGAUAACGCAGCGAAAGCUGUGCUAAUACCGCAUAUUAUCUGAGGAUGAAAGCGGGGGACUAAGCAGCAAUGUUUGGCCUCGCGCCUUUGGAGCGGCCGAUGUCAGAUUAGGUAGUUGGUGGGGUAAAGGCCUACCAAGCCGACGAUCUGUAGCUGGUCUGAGAGGACGACCAGCCACACUGGGACUGAGACACGGCCCAGACUCCUACGGGAGGCAGCAGUGGGGAAUUUUGGACAAUGGACGCAAGUCUGAUCCAGCAAUGCCGCGUGCAGGACGAAAGGGCCUUACGGGUUGUAAACUGCUUUUGUACUAGAACGAAAGGACGU
rnacentral:rRNA from 1 species